rnacentral:rRNA from 1 species
GUUUGAUCAUGGCUCAGAUUGAACGCUGGCGGCAGGCCUAACACAUGCAAGUCGAACGGUAACAGGAAGAAGCUUGCUUCUUUGCUGACGAGUGGCGGACGGGGGAGUAAUGUCUGGGAAACUGCCUGAUGGAGGGGGAUAACUACUGGAAACGGUAGCUAAUACCGCAUAACGUCGCAAGACCAAAGAGGGGGACCUUCGGGCCUCUUGCCAUCGGAUGUGCCCAGAUGGGAUUAGCUUGUUGGUGGGGUAACGGCUCACCAAGGCGACGAUCCCUAGCUGGUCUGAGAGGAUGACCAGCCACACUGGAACUGAGACACGGUCCAGACUCCUACGGGAGGCAGCAGUGGGGAAUAUUGCACAAUGGGCGCAAGCCUGAUGCAGCCAUGCCGCGUGUAUGAAGAAGGCCUUCGGGUUGUAAAGUACUUUCAGCGGGGAGGAAGGGAGUAAAGUUAAUACCUUUGCUCAUUGACGUUACCCGCAGAAGAAGCACCGGCUAACUCCGUGCCAGCAGCCGCGGUAAUACGGAGGGUGCAAGCGUUAAUCGGAAUUACUGGGCGUAAAGCGCACGCAGGCGGUUUGUUAAGUCAGAUGUGAAAUCCCCGGGCUCAACCUGGGAACUGCAUCUGAUACUGGCAAGCUUGAGUCUCGUAGAGGGGGGUAGAAUUCCAGGUGUAGCGGUGAAAUGCGUAGAGAUCUGGAGGAAUACCGGUGGCGAAGGCGGCCCCCUGGACGAAGACUGACGCUCAGGUGCGAAAGCGUGGGGAGCAAACAGGAUUAGAUACCCUGGUAGUCCACGCCGUAAACGAUGUCGACUUGGAGGUUGUGCCCUUGAGGCGUGGCUUCCGGAGCUAACGCGUUAAGUCGACCGCCUGGGGAGUACGGCCGCAAGGUUAAAACUCAAAUGAAUUGACGGGGGCCCGCACAAGCGGUGGAGCAUGUGGUUUAAUUCGAUGCAACGCGAAGAACCUUACCUGGUCUUGACAUCCACGGAAGUUUUCAGAGAUGAGAAUGUGCCUUCGGGAACCGUGAGACAGGUGCUGCAUGGCUGUCGUCAGCUCGUGUUGUGAAAUGUUGGGUUAAGUCCCGCAACGAGCGCAACCCUUAUCCUUUGUUGCCAGCGGUCCGGCCGGGAACUCAAAGGAGACUGCCAGUGAUAAACUGGAGGAAGGUGGGGAUGACGUCAAGUCAUCAUGGCCCUUACGACCAGGGCUACACACGUGCUACAAUGGCGCAUACAAAGAGAAGCGACCUCGCGAGAGCAAGCGGACCUCAUAAAGUGCGUCGUAGUCCGGAUUGGAGUCUGCAACUCGACUCCAUGAAGUCGGAAUCGCUAGUAAUCGUGGAUCAGAAUGCCACGGUGAAUACGUUCCCGGGCCUUGUACACACCGCCCGUCACACCAUGGGAGUGGGUUGCAAAAGAAGUAG